UCAUCGGUGGGUCAGUGGUAGAAUGCUCGCCUGCCACGCGGGCAGCCCGGGUUCGAUUCCCGGCCAAUGCA
rnacentral:tRNA from 1 species